rnacentral:misc_RNA from 1 species
GAUGAAGAACGUAGCGAAAUGCGAUAAGUAAUGUGAAUUGCAGAAUUCAGUGAAUCAUCGAAUCUUUGAACGCACAUUGCGCCCCCUGGUAUUCCGAGGGGCAUGCCUGUCCGAGCGUCAUUACAACCCUCAAGCUCAGCUUGGUGUUGGGCCCCGCCGCCCCGGCGGGCCCUAAAGUCAGUGGCGGUGCCGUCCGGCUCCGAGCGUAGUAAUUCUUCUCGCUCUGGAGGUCCGGUCGUGUGCUCGCCAGCAACCCCCAAUUUUUUUCAGGUUGACCUCGGAUCAGGUAGGGAUACCCGCUGAACUUAAGCAUAUCAAUAAGCGGAGGA